ACCAUCACUCACCAAGAAAAGAGCAAUAACAGGACCUGUUUUGCUAAUCCAGGACUGUUCUCCAGCACUAACUCUAAAUAAUCCCUUCUGCUAGAGUCCACUUUCUGGAACCUGUUGCCUCCGUUUUCAACGUUUCCCAAACUUGGUCCGUUGUGUGAGCUGGCUGAUAAAAGUUCCAGGGAGAAGACAUCUUACUCUUAUUGGAUCAUGCACAGUGCCUGAAGCAUUCUGUUGCAUGUAGAAGUCAGUAAAUUGCAGAUGUAAGAUUCAAAACCAGACUUCACAUCUACCGACUUCAGUGACCCUGAAAUUUGUUCACAGAGAGCAUUUAACAUAACUGUCUUCAUCAUCUCCUUCUCUACAUUAAAAAUUAUGGGCAACAGAAAGAAACUGAGGGUCUGCUAUUUGUCUCCAGAGGCCUUACAAACUGGUAGAAGAUGCAUAACAGAAGAGCUUAUGAAGUUAAAGAUGACAGCAUAGCAGCACUGGUGAGAUCCUUUUAGACAUAACAUGGUAGGAAGGACUGUUUGACAAAGUGAAUGCCUGUCUUUCAGAAUAUACAGGGAGGUGUGAUGUACCCAUUAUCACAAGCAGAUGGAAUCCCUAUAGAGUCGGAUCUCAUCUACAUAUCACCUAUUAUAUGUAGUUAUUGAUGGAUAAAUACUUCAACAACUAAAGGCAGAAAGAGAGCAGUUCACAAAGACGUUAUUGGUGAUUCAAUCUUGAGUCAUGAAAAGUCAACCUUGAGCCACAAAAAGUCAACCUUGAGCCAAGCAGAUUGGAGAGUCAUACAUGCCAUUCCUGGGACCAUCAAAAAUGGCAGAG
rnacentral:lncRNA from 10 species